rnacentral:rRNA from 1 species
UUAGGUCGACCCGCUGAAYUUAAGCAUAUCAAUAAGCGGAGGAAAAGAAACUAAMCMGGAUUCCCUUAGUAGCGGCGAGUGAAGAGGGAGGAGCCCAGCGCCGAAGCCUGCGGCAGUAAUGCUGCUAGGCGAUGUGGUGUUUGGGCUGACCAGUGGGAUUGCGACUCCACUUGAAGUCCGGCAUUGAGUACGGUAGACGGACUUGGCCCAGAGAGGGUGAGAGGCCCGUGCGGGUGGAGGUUCAGRCGUGUCUAGCGCGAUUCCUCAGGUCAGCCCGAGAGUCGGGUUGUUUGAGAUUGCAGCCCAAAGUGGGUGGUAAACUCCAUCCAAGGCUAAAUACAAGCACGAGUCCGAUAGCGAACAAGUACCGUGAGGGAAAGUUGAAAAGUACUCUGAAGAGAGAGUAAACAGUACGUGAAACCGCAUGCAGGUAAGCGGGUGGCGUCAAGCUGCUAGCCCGGAGGAUUCAGCCGGUUAGGAUGUUUGUGUGCGCUCGGUGCACCUAUUGGCCGGAGUAAGAUGCAGUAGUCCACUGGAAGACGGUGGUCCUUUUGGUCGCGUUCAUGUAGCGUGGCUAGGAGGAGAUGCGUGCCGGAUGGGUGCCGGAGCAUACUACUCAUCCGUAGGGUCGACUAGCCGGUGCAUUUUCUUCGUGGCCGACACCACGACCGAUGGCAUUGUUGGUCUGCUGCGGUCAAGUCGCACCUAAUUGGUGUCAUCUGGCGUCAAUUGGAUGCGGCCACAGUCAAGAUAUGUAGACGGCGUUGGGGUGUUUCGGCACUUUAGCGUGUUAUCGUCUGCAGCUUGAAAACGGGCCUGCCUAGUGAUUGUUGUGGCCUGCUUUGAUCACUUGGUGGUUCGGUGGACCGUGGUGGUGUUAAUUACCAUACAAGGCAUCGGAGUCAGCGACCUCAUGUAAGAGCAUCAUGCAUCAGGACGCGAGUCACGAGCGUCGUGCUUAUCCGAGGGUGCACUAGGGUGGCCUGCUUGCAGUCUGGCUCUGAUUGUCGUGUUGCCUGCGCAAAGUAGGUCCGGCAGUGGUCAGCUGUGAGAUGGGUUGCUAAUGUCACUGGUGUGCUUCGUGAUGUGGUGCUGGGGGUCAUGUAGUCAGUGGUGCUGUGGUAGACUAGCUACCCGACCCGUCUUGAAACACGGACCANNNNNNNNNNNNNNNNNNNNNNUCAAGGGGUCCUACGAAACCCAAAGGCGCAGUGAAAGUAAGGCCUCAUUUGCCUCGGUGGCGGCGCAGCUUGUCUGUUGCUGCUACAGCAGUGGGGUGAGGUGAGAUCCUGCUGUUACUCGCACGCACGUGCACACGGUGCCGGGCUAAGAGCAGUGGGCGCAUCACCGGCCCGUCCCAUGAUGUAGUCAUUGGAUUCUCGCGAACGUCAGUGCAGACAUCGGGGCGGAGCAUGAGCAUGCACGUUGAGACCCGAAAGAUGGUGAACUAUGCAUA